rnacentral:tRNA from 1 species
GGGCCUAUAGCUCAGCUGGUUAGAGCACCUGACUCAUAAUCAGGUGGUCCGGGGUUCAAGUCCCUGUGGGCCCACCU